rnacentral:rRNA from 1 species
UAGUAACUGCGAGUGAACCGGGAAAAGCUCAAAUUUUGAAUCUGGCGGUCUUUCGGCCGUCCGAGUUGUAAUCUAGAGAAGCGUCUUCCGCGCUGGACCGUGUAUAAGUUUCCUGGAAUGGAACGUCGUAGAGGGUGAGAAUCCCGUCUUUGACACGGACUGCCAGGGCUAUGUGAUGCGCUCUCGACGAGUCGAGUUGUUUGGGAAUGCAGCUCAAAUAGGGUGGUAAAUUCCAUCUAAAGCUAAAUACAGGCGAGAGACCGAUAGCGAACAAGUACCGUGAGGGAAAGAUGAAAAGAACUUUGGAAAGAGAGUUAAACAGUACGUGAAAUUGCUGAAAGGGAAACGCUUGAUGUCAGUCGCGUCGGCCGGGGAUCAGCCUUGCUCUUUUGCUCGGUGUAUUUCCUGGUCGACGGGUCAGCAUCGGUUUCGACCGUCGGAAAAUGGCUCGAGGAAUGUGGCACUCUUCGGAGUGUGUUAUAGACUCGGGUCGAAUACGACGAUCGGGACCGAGGAACUCAGCACGACCUUCGGGUUUCGGGGCUUCGGCCCACGUCGACGUGCUUAGGAUGCUGGCAUAAUGGCCUUAAGCGACCCGUCUUGAAACACGGACCAAGGAGUCUAACUCGCAUGCGAGUGUUUGGGCGAUUAAAACCCGAGCGCGCAAUGAAAGUGAAAGUCGAGACCUCUGUCGUGG